rnacentral:tRNA from 1 species
GGUGAGAUGGCCGAGUGGUUAUGGCGCUGCGUUCAGGCAUCUGCAGUAUCCUUCAUAAGAUACCGCGGCUAAACGCUGAACAAGUUUCGCAGUGGAGCAAUCCGCGUGGGUUCGAGUCCCACUCUCAUCA